rnacentral:rRNA from 1 species
ACCUGGGAGUCCUAACUGUAUUAUUCGAUGCGGACUUGGUGUUGGGGUGGCUUUGAGCUGUUCCAGUGCCGAAGGGAAGCUGUUAAGUCCUCCGCCUGGGAAGUACGGUCUCAAGACUGAAACUUAAAGGAAUUGGCGGGGGAGCACCACAACGUCUCGAGCCUGCGGUUUAAUUGGAUUCAACACCGGACAUCUCACCAGAGGUGACAGCUGUAUGAUAGCCAGGUUGAUUAUUUUGCUUGACUAGCUGAAAAGAGGUGCAUGGCCGCCGUCAGCUCCGUACCGUGAGGCGUCCCUGUUAAGUCAGGCAACGAG